GCAGCCUGAUGCAGCGACGCCGCGUGAGGGAUGACGGCCUAUCGGGUUGUAAACCUCUUUCAGUAGGGAAGAAGCGAAAGUGACGGUACCUGCAGAAGAAGCGCCGGCUAACUACGUGCCAGCAGCCGCGGUAAUACGUAGGGCGCAAGCGUUAUCCGGAAUUAUUGGGCGUAAAGAGCUCGUAGGCGGUUUGUCGCGUCUGCCGUGAAAGUCCGGGGCUCAACUCCGGAUCUGCGGUGGGUACGGGCAGACUAGAGUGAUGUAGGGGAGACUGGAAUUCCUGGUGUAGCGGUGAAAUGCGCAGAUAUCAGGAGGAACACCGAUGGCGAAGGCAGGUCUCUGGGCAUUAACUGACGCUGAGGAGCGAAAGCAUGGGGAGCGAACAGGAUUAGAUACCCUGGUAGUCCAUGCCGUAAACGUUGGGCACUAGGUGUGGGGGACAUUCCACGUUUUCCGCGCCGUAGCUAACGCAUUAAGUGCCCCGCCUGGGGAGUACGGCCGCAAGGCUAAAACUCAAAGGAAUUGACGGGGGCCCGCACAAGCGGCGGAGCAUGCGGAUUAAUUCGAUGCAACGCGAAGAACCUUACCAAGGCUUGACAUGGGCCGGACCGGGCUGGAAACAGUCCUUCCCCUUUG
rnacentral:rRNA from 2 species